rfam:Paracoccus solventivorans strain DSM 6637 genome assembly, contig: Ga0131120_103
CUGUUCGGGGAUCGCCCCCCGUCAGCGCGGAUGCGCCCACGGGGGCCAUACUG